CGCGUAGGCGGGGAGGUAAGUCGGGUGUGAAAUCCCUCGGCCCAACCGAGGAACUGCGCCCGAGACUGCUUCUCUUGAGUCCCGGAGAGGAAGAUGGAAUUUCCGGUGUAGCGGUGAAAUGUGUAGAGAUCGGGAGGAACACCGGUGGCGAAGGCGGUCUUCUGGACGGUGACUGACGCUGAGGCGCGAAAGCGUGGGGAGCAAACG
rnacentral:rRNA from 1 species